rnacentral:rRNA from 1 species
UACGUAGGGCGCAAGCGUUGUCCGGAAUCAUUGGGCGUAAGAGCUCGUAGGCGGCCUGUUGCGUCCGCUGUGAAAUCCCGGGGCUUAACCCCGGGCGUGCAGUGGAUACGGGCUGGCUGGAGGCAGGCAGGGGAGAACGGAAUUCCCGGUGUAGCGGUGAAAUGCGCAGAUAUCGGGAGGAACACCGGUGGCGAAGGCGGUUCUCUGGGCCUGUACUGACGCUGAGGAGCGAAAGCGUGGGGAGCGAACAGG